rnacentral:rRNA from 1 species
UACGUAGGGUGCAAGCGUUACUCGGAAUUACUGGGCGUAAAGCGUGCGUAGGUGGUUUGUUAAGUCUGUUGUGAAAGCCCCGGGCUCAACCUGGGAAUGGCAAUGGAUACUGGCAGGCUAGAGUGCGGGUAGAGGGUAGUGGAAUUCCCGGGUGUAGCGGUGAAAUGCGCAGAUAUCGGGAAGAACACCCGUGGCGAAGGCGGCACUCUGGGACGGUACUGACGCUGAGACG